rnacentral:rRNA from 1 species
AUUGAACGCUGGCGGCAUGCCUUACACAUGCAAGUCGAACGGUAACGCGGGGCAACCUGGCGACGAGUGGCGAACGGGUGAGUAAAGCAUCGGAACGUGCCCAGUAGUGGGGGAUAGCCCGGCGAAAGCCGGAUUAAUACCGCAUACGACCUAUGGGUGAAAGGGGGGGAUCGCAAGACCUCUCGCUAUUGGAGCGGCCGAUGUCAGAUUAGGUAGUUGGUGGGGUAAAGGCCUACCAAGCCGACGAUCUGUAGCUGGUCUGAGAGGACGACCAGCCACACUGGGACUGAGACACGGCCCAGACUCCUACGGGAGGCAGCAGUGGGGAAUUUUGGACAAUGGGCGCAAGCCUGAUCCAGCCAUGCCGCGUGCGGGGAGAAGGCCUUCGGGUUGUAAACCGCUUUUGUCAGGGAAGAAAUCCUUUGGGUUAAUACCUCGGGGGGAUGACGGUACCUAAAGAAUAAGCACCGGCUAACUACGUGCCAGCCGCCGCGGUAA